UUACGAUGGAGAGUUUGAUCCUGGCUCAGGAUGAACGCUAGCGGCAGGCCUAAUACAUGCAAGUCGAACGGUAGAUUCCUUCGGGAUUCUAU
rnacentral:rRNA from 1 species